AACAAAUACAGCUCUUUUGAAAUUAUUCUAGCAGAUUUUCUGACUCUGGUCUGAACACCCGA
rnacentral:snRNA from 1 species